AAUUCCACGUGUAGCAGUGAAAUGCGUAGAGAUGUGGAGGAACACCGAUGCCGAAGGCAGCCCCCUGGGAUGACACUGACGCUCAUGUACGAAAGCGUGGGUAGCAAACAGGAUUAGAUACCCUGGUAGUCCACGCCCUAAACGAUGAACACUAGUCGUCGUGAUGCUUGUCAUUGCGGUGAUGCACUUAACAGAUUAAGUGUUCCGCCUGGGGAGUACGGUCGCAAGAUUAAAACUCAAAGGAAUAGACGGGGACCCGCACAAGUGGUGGAGCAUGUGGUUUAAUUCGAAGAUACGCGAAAAACCUUACCUGGCCUUGACAUUGAUAGAAUCUGCUAGAGAUAGCGGAGUGCCCUUCGGGGAGCUUGAAAACAGGUGCUGCACGGCUGUCGUCAGCUCGUGUCGUGAGAUGUUGGGUUAAGUCCCGCAACGAGCGCAACCCUCGUCCUUAGUUGCCAGCAGGUUAAGCUGGGCACUCUAGGGAGACUGCCUUCGUAAGGAGGAGGAAGGUGAGGACGACGUCAAGUCAUCAUGGCCCUUACGGCCAGGGCUACACACGUGCUACAAUGGGGCGUACAGAGUGUUGCAAUACCGCGAGGUGGAGCCAAUCACUUAAAGCGUCUCUCAGUUCGGAUUGUUCUCUGCAACUCGAGAGCAUGAAGUCGGAAUCGCUAGUAAUCGCGGAUCAGCAUGUCGCGGUGAAUACGUUCCCGGGUCUUGUACACACCGCCCGUCACACCAUGGGAGUGGAAUCUGGCAGAAGUAGGUAGCCUAACCGCAAGGAGGGCGCUACCACGC
rnacentral:rRNA from 1 species